AAUAAGUCAAGAAACAGAAGGCUGGACAAACAAAAGGAUUCCAGUCAUGGAACUGAAGCCUUCAUCAAACCUUACCACGGAUCUUAAAGUCCUCGCAAUGAAUCAUUGCAUGUGUUCAGAAGGACACAAGAGAACAGCACAAGAAGCAGUCUGAUCCUUCUAAGGGCCUCUCAUCAACAUCAGCAAGUAGAAUGGUUACAGAACAGCCCCAGAUUUUAGAGAAGGAGCAGAAAACAGACCUUUUCACCGCACCCAGAACACCCUCUGCUUGGAAGCAUCUUAAGGCCAGAGGACUGGGAUGUGGAACCAUGGACAGCUCCUGCUUCCCUAGAGGGUUGAGCUGACACUGAAGCCAUCCAGCAUGAAAGCGUGCCUUAGCUCAGGUAGGCUGCAGUUAAUCGUCCUUAGACACGUAGCUUUUUCACAUUAUUCCUGUACAUAUAAUCUGUACAGCAGCUAAGCUACAGAAUUUGCCACCAAAUAACAUUAGAGACUGAGUUUUAGCAAGAUGCAAGAAAAACACACUGGUACCUUCAUUGAUGCAAAGCAUGUUAACACUUGAUCUGUAUAUUUUAUAUGUUGUAAAUGUGCUUUAAAGAAACCACAUUCCAAGAGGUGUAGUAAGUCUUAAUAGGCACCCUAAUCCCCAAUGCGCAAGUACUUAAAAUGAGAGAGAGAUGUUUCCUUGUGUGUUUACGUAAUGCAAACCCAUGCAAGCAGAAGGAGAGAGAGUCUCACAUCUGCAUAAUAUCAGGAUUCUUUCAUUUCGCUCUGAAGAGGCAGAACUAAGCUAAUUACUAAUGUACAGCAUGGAAGGUAGAGCACAGCCAAUACCGUGUCAUACAAAUUAAGGAAAGGAGGGAUUGCCAUACUCUUUGAGGACCUCUGCUUGGUGGGCUGAAGUAAUCACAGUGCUGGUAGAGCACAAUCAUUCUUAUGUUUCUAGCACAAGAACCUCAGAUCCCAACAAGGAACUCCAAGACACCACAACAAUGGAACACAUUUUGCCUAGGUGGCUUUGUUAAGGUUUGCAAAGCCAGCUAAGGGGAUUUAGCCACAGAACUGCCAUUAACAUUGACAAAAAAAAUCUGAUUAUUUUGAACUAUCACCACUAAUCACAGUGCAGUGUCUCCAUUUGGUGGGAGAAGCUAGAGAGAGAAAGAGCCAGGAGGCAGAUGAUGCAGAAAACUGUUUUCCACCUAGAGAUUUCAAAAGACAUUCCCAUGCCAGAGUUUCUGUAAGACCACAUCUCUGUAGAAAGAAAUAGCUAUAGAGAAGUCUUAGGAGUUGUCAGGCAACCCAUCAGCAUGACUGGUACACCUACUGCAUUUAGCUUCAAAUAUUUUACCUAGCAGAACAAGGUAUACUUCUACAAUAAAAGCCAGUGAAAUAGACUAAAUUUCCGAGACAGCAGUAGGAGUAAGAGCAACUACACACACGCAAAGAUAGUCAAGGCCUGGAAACAGGUUACUCAAAGAUCUUAUGUUAAGGUCCCAGAAGGCUGAACUCCUCACAUCUUAAUUGCUAUUUACAUAAUAAAAAGACAGCAUUUGACUGACUCCAAGACAAAUAUCUCCCUCAGAUCACAGUAUGACCAUUUCUAGAGAUUAUUUCUCUUUCCCUCAUCUAUGAUUUUUCAUUUUAGUACCAUUCUCUGCUGCACGCAUCAGCCACACUACCUACUUCAUAUGAGAAUUAGUAAGAAUGAUUUACUUCAACACUUGAUGUGAUACUGCUACACACCACCCCUGUGGAAAGAAGUGUCCCAGUUGAACAUUUAGCCAAGGUAGACAAAUCCUUACCAUACUUAUCGCAUCAAAGAACUGCAAAUAUAAAAAUAAUGGUUUUAAAAUCAUCCUGUAGGAAUGAUGGCUAAAUACCACAGCAAUAGCGAGGAGGAGGGGAAAAACAAAACAAAAAAAACAGUACACUAAGGAAGAAAGGGAAGAUCAGUGUAAGGCUGGAUAAUGGUAGAGGGACUAAGUAGAACACUGGCAGAAAGGUAAAUCCUACCAGCCUUUCCAACACACCAGAAUCAUGCCAGUACUGUGCUCUCCAGUCUCCAGCCCAGUCGAGUCCCCAUCUUUUGCACAGCCCACCCGCCUUCCUAUUGAGCAAGCCCACAAGGUGGCAUCAUUUCUAAAACAAUAAGAGCCUAGAAAUUCAUCCGUUCAAACCAAUAGUCAGAGACGCACAAAAAAAGGGGGGCUUGUAUGGCAGAAUUUGAAACCUCACUUUCCAAACACAGUAGCUUUUCAGUUCCAAAUUUUUCCUUAGCCUAACACAGGGAAAGAAAUAAACCUCUAGAUAGGGACAGGCUUUCUUUUCAGUAUUUGUAGAGCAUACAGUGUCAACAUGCACAGAUCUAAAUAAGGUUCUCCAAUACUACUGUAGCACAACAUUUCACAGCCCCAUUAUCUUCAUCUGAGGGACAGGAUAUGAGAAAUGGAGACUCACUUAAUGAUAAAUUUUAGAUUGAACAGCAGCUACUGUCUGGACUGUAGUUUUAAUAAACCUGUGUCUGUCAUGCCCCAGAGCUUUCAUCCUGUUUCACAUUGUCUUCUCUCCAGUCCUAAUUUUCAUAACAAUCGCAUCAACAGAAGCACACUCAUCAGUUUCAUUGGU